CCCCCCUGCAAAGAACAAAAUAGACGGCACGACGAGGCGCUCAAUCAGAUUUUAGUGGUUUACUUCAGUUCUGCCGUCUCUCUCUCUUUCUCUCCUUUACUACAAGGGAUAUUAUAAAGAAUAAAUAGCAGAUACUCUUAAUUUACAACGAUUAGUCAUUCCAUUUGUUCUCUAUAUUUACAAUAACUAAAAUAACAUCGAACUCUACGGCUCCUCCGAGCCCAGGAGACCGGUACACUUUCCGAAGAAUGGAAAAUAGCUUCUUCAUCAUCAUCAUCAUCAUCAUCAUCAUCUUCUUCUUUUUAAAGUCCUUCUACAAAGUUUUUUUUUUCCUCUCCUCUUUGUACUUUAAAAAAAAAAUAUUUUUUUUUUUCCUGCUUCGCCGGGCGAAGUGUUCUGGAAUAUAAAUAGCAGGUAACGUUAGGGACGGACAGAAGAACACGCCUUUCUCUCUCCUUCUUUCUUCUUCUUCUUCUUCUUCUUCUUUUUUUUUUCCUCUUUUGUUUUUUUAAAAAUACAGUAGAAGCCGGUAACUUUUUUUAAACGUAUAAUACUGACCUUUUAAUAAGUAAAACUGGGACCAUAUAUAUACACACACACGCACGCACACAUAUACAUUCCUACAGGUACAGUGCAUAACAUGAACCCUAAAGUUAUGUCCUGCGGCGGGGAGAGGGGACGGAGUUGGGCUUUUGGGGGGGUGGGGAGGGGGCGGACUGGGUGGGCGUGGAAGGGGGCGAGGCGCCCUUAGCAGGAGCAUUUGCACUCCGAUAUGAUGGGGUACUGGAUGGGGAUCCAGGCGCAGCGCUGGCCCCCCCGGCGUUGGCAUCGCCACCUGAGCACAGUGAGGUGCACGGACUUGGACGGCUUGCAGACCAUGCCCUCGGGGAAGGAGCACGACCUUCGGCUGAAGCAGCUGCCCACUUUGACGUAGCGGGGCCAGAAGCGGCUGCCCAGGUCGUUCCACGAGUAGAGGACCGGACAGAAGGUCUGCGACCACAGCCACAGCUGCAGUUUCCUCCGCAGCUUCUUGCUCAGCCGGUGUUUCUUGCCGGAGGGCGGCCCGUCGGAGAACUCCAGGCCUUUGAUCUCGCUGGGCAUGACCCCCGACGGCCGCUGGCGCAGCAGCUGGUCCAGCUCGGUCAAGUCCUCUCCACCACCUCCUCCUGCACCUCCUCCUGCGGCCGCCCCUCCUCCCCCGGCCGGCCGGUCCUCCGGGGGCGUCGAGGCCAUGAAGCCCGGGUCGUAGUGAGCGCCCAGCAGCGAGCGCAGCAGCGUCUCGUUGAGGUCCUUCUCCUUGGGGUCAAAGACGGGGUCCGGGUGCUCGAUGAGGUCCACCAGGGGCAGGUUGUCGCUGGGGGCCGGGCGGAUGUGCAGCCACAGCUUUUUGCACAUUCCCCGCAAACUGCAAUCGCCGAAGGAGGCCUCGGCCUCGAAGCCCCCCGCGGGUGGGAGAUGCCCCGACCGGGUGGCAGAUGCCCGGGCCGGGUGGCAGAUGCCCCGGAACUCAGAAGAGGUGGCUGCGACGGCGCUUGGCAGGGCAGCGAGGAAAAGUGAAUCUGAGGCCAGAAGCCCCCACCCCGACCUCAUCCAUCCCUCCAUCUGCACCUGCAAAGUCCCACAGUCUCCUCUCCUUGACUCGCGGCUGUGACAGUUCUCACCCGGGACACUGGGAGACCCGGGGCGGACGCCCCACCGUCUAGGCCACCCCAGGUCGAAAGAGGAGAGUGAGCACCCCAAAGUUAAAAUAAAUGUUUGAUUCACACUAUUUGGUUUUGUGCCCGGGUGAUGGGGAGAGGGGCUGAAGGAGCCUCAUGUAAGAAGCGAGGCGCAGGAACGAUUUUUCUUACUCCAAGAGUACUUGCUUUCGCCCUUGGCGUUCUCUUAGAAUAGUGCAUUGCACCUAGCAGGCACUUGGUAAAUAUUUUUCUCCUCCUCUUCCUACCACACUCCUGCUGUAACCAGUAGAGGUAGGAGACCAUUUCUAUCUCCGGGGAAGCAACACUGGAAGAGAUAGAAGACCAUCAAGUCAACAGGGGCUUCUUAAUGUAGGGGGCAGAAACGCAAUCUCACUUGGCCUUAAAGGAAGUUGGAAGUUCCCAGUAUUAAUGCAGCCCAGUUCAUUGUUUUUUGUCUCCUGAUCCACUGUGAAAUCCCACGUCCCACCUUAUUCAGAACUGACCCUUAAAGCCACGUCGGACUGCCAGACUCACCUUGUCUCGGGGCUGUGCUCUGGGAUUGAAGGUGGUGCUGUUGAUGGAGAAAGCCUAUCUCUGGGAGGAGGGAGGGUCGAGUGGCCGAAAAGACCAGUCGGUCACCAAUCAAUAACUGCAUCCAGGCCCUGCAUGUGGGUGAAAAGAGUGCUUUGUCACUGCUCCAUCGGAUCCUGACCCUAAUACUGCUAUCGAUAGUAUGCUAGUAUUCCUGUUUCUAUUGCUGCUGCGAUACUCGCCGAAGCUAUUAUUACUAUUUUCAUUACUAUCGUUACGAUUACCACUCAAUCACACACACAAGUAUAUAUAGAUUUAGUCGGCGGCGGCAUUCCAAGAAGACACCCCUGAUGGUGAAUUCACCUAUGAUCUCUCGUGUGUGGCUGAGAGGGCCGUAUUAGAGGAAAUACGUACUUCCAUUCCCACUCCUGACACGGUUCCUACUGCCAGUAUCACUGCUAUUCCUUCAGCUACCCUGACCACUCCUGCCAUUACUGAGGAGGAGGGGGGCUCAGUGGAAAGACCCCGGGCUUGGCAGUCAGAGGUCCUGGGUUCUAAUCCCCGGCUCUGCCGCUUGUCAGCUGUGUGACACGGGGCAAGUCGCUUCACUUCUCUGGGCCUCAGUUCCCUCGUCUGUAAAAUGGGGUUGGAGACUGGGAGCCCCACAUGGGACAACCUCCUUACCUUGUAAAAUAAAAAAAUAAAUGGUGGUAUUUAUUAAGCGCUUACUAUGUGCAAAGCACCGUUCUAAGCGCUGGGGGGGUGCGAGGCAAUGAAGUAGCCCCACGUGGGGCUCACGGUUUUUAAUCCCCAUUUUGCAGAAGAGGUAACUGAGGCACAGAGAAGUGAAGUGACUUGCCCAAAGUCACACAGCUGGCAAAUGGUGGAGCCAGGGUUCGAACCCAUGACCUCUGACUCCCAAGCCCGGGCCCUUUCCACUGAGCCACGCUGCUUCUCUUGUAUCUACCCCACCGCUUAGAACAGUGCUUGGCACAUUGUAAGCGCUUAACAAAUACUGUCAUUUUAUUAUUACUUCUCCUGUAAUUAUUACUACAGUCAUCCGACUCCUGCCACUAUCACUUCUUAGUAUAACUACCAUUACUAAUUAGGGGGUAUAUUAAGUGCUUACUUUGAGCGAAGCACUGGGGUAGAUGCAAGAUAAUCAGGUCAGAUACAGUCCCUGCCCCACACUAUCUGAGCGGGAGGGAAGCGUCUGUGUCAGGAGGCCCAACUUUCAUUCGUUCUUUCGGUCGAGUUUAUUCAGAGCUUACUUUGUGCAGAGCACUGUGCUAAGCGCUUGGGAGAGCACAAUACAAUAAACAGGGACAUUCCCCGCCAACAACAAACAUGCAGUCUAAAUCUCUCCUGAGCCAUCGUUUCAGGCCAGGGGUAGUUAUCCGUGGCAGCCAAGAAUACUAGUGGUAUUAUUUAAGUGUUUACUCUAUGUCAAGUACCAUACUAAGCACUGGGACAUAUGCAGGAUAAUCAGGUUGGGCAUAGAUUCUGUCGCCCAUGGGGCUCCCAGUCUGAGGAGGAGGGAGAACAAGUUCUGAAUCCCCAUUUUACAGACGAAGAAACUGAGGCACAGAGCCGGUAAGUGAUUUGACAAGUCACACAACCGGAAAGUGGCAGAAUUGAAACCCAGAACCCCUGACCCCCCGCGAGCUCAUGCUCUUUCCACGAGGCCACGUGGCUUCUUGUAGUGUGCCCAAAACCAUUUGAGGCUGUGCUUCCCUUCGGCCUGAAGAUAGCCGUUCUUUUUCUUGCACACAUCUGUUCUCCUGGGCAUAUGUUUUAGUAUCCGGCUAUCGUUCACUCGCUUUCUGUAAACGCAUCCAUUCGCUAGAGUGCCCAGUCCUUGCUACAACCUCCCAAAUGCCUGAUUUAGUCCUCUGCACACAGUAAGUGCUUCAUGCAGACCACUGACAGAUUUUAUCUCCCGGCCCUGUUGCUCGAACACCGCAGUUGAUGCCGCCAUUUAGGAUUUAAUUGUUAGCCCUCAUGAUUUGCCAUUCGGUUUCAAAUCUGGUCCGUGGUGGUCACGGAUGAAAUUGCUCAGGAGCAGUUCCGACUGAUCCCUGUGCCUCCUUGUACGUCUGCUUCCAGAGCCCAGUCUGUGUCAGCAUCCGGCGGAUUCUGGACGGCCUCCUCGGGCAUCGGUCGAGCCACCGUCGGUUGCCUCCGAAGCUGGUGAGACGGAAGAGUGAGUCCGAAAGGAGUUCUGACCCAGCUUCCAGGCCUUUGGUUGUCUUCAAACACGGGCCCGUUGCUCAGCCCCGCUGUCCUCCAGGGGUGAUGAGGACCCUUUCCCGUAUCUCUGCCCCUUCCCGUUCUGAGGACUUCCGGACGGAGGGUUGG
rnacentral:lncRNA from 1 species